AAAAAACUCCUUGAAAGGGAAAACCUCGGUGAGAACAUGUUACAGAAACAGAAGAAAGGUGAAACCCCAGUUUUCAAUCAGAUGCUCUGUGCCAACAAGAGGUUUCUGACUGUGCAGCUUCAGGUCACAGCCUGGAACAAGCCACGUGGAGAUGGAUGCCCCUAGAUCCUAACCAGACUGAUACUGGGAAUAAAUAAAACAACACUGUGAUUUUAACUGCAAGCAAGCACAUCAACUCCACUCCACGCAGGCUAUUUAAUGUCACGAGCUUUUUUUUUUUUUUUUUUUUUAAGGGGACAUUUUAAUCAUUCCUGCCUAGGUUUCAUCUUUUGCCUGUGAAAGUGAGUUGGGGGGGGGGGCUUGUCUCUAAUCUUUGUCACCGCCCUGGAUCAGACCUCACUCCAAAUCUCUCUUGAGGUCUUACAGAUCAAUCUGCACAAGACAUCAGGAGACAGGCCCGAGGAGCGAUGGCUAAUAAACCUAAAGUGCUGGUUGUCGUCUGUUGUUGGCUUCAGUCCCAAAUCACAUGCAUUAGGAAUGCUGAAAAAAAGAAGAAAUAUGUAGGAAGCCAACAUUUCCACAUGCCGAACGAUGAGACUUUCUGCCAGGAAUCCUCUUGCCAGACAACUGUUUGGACAUGGUGCCAUGCUUCAGUAGAGUUAUAUGAUUCAAUCCCCCCAAGGGUGUAUGUUACAACUGUAUCUGGCUCCUUCCAAGAUAAAUAGUCCAUUUUCAAGA